rnacentral:rRNA from 1 species
UACGUAGGGUCCGAGCGUUGUCCGGAUUUAUUGGGCGUAAAGAGCGCGUAGGCGGCCGUGUAAGUCCGACGUGAAAUCUGGAGGCUCAACCUCCAGCGGUCGUUGGAAACUACCCGGCUAGAGUCCGGAAGAGGAGAGUGGAAUUCCUGGUGUAGCGGUGAAAUGCGCAGAUAUCAGGAAGAACACCGAUGGCGAAAGCAGCUCUCUGGGACGGUACUGACGCUGAGGCGCGAAAGCGUGGGGAGCGAACAGG